UCCUGGAUAGCUCAGUUGGUUAGAGCGUGGUGCUGACAAGGUCAAGGCUGCAGAUUCGACCCCCGUAUGAGGCA